GCUUGUCUCAAAGAUUAAGCCAUGCAUGUCUAAGUAUAAGCGCCUUAUACUGUGAAACUGCGAAUGGCUCAUUAUAUCAGUAAUAGUUUAUUUGAUGGUCCCUUACUACCUGGAUACCCGUAGUAAUUCUAGAGCUAAUACAUGCAUCAAACCCCGACUUCUGGAAGGGGUGUAUUUAUUAGAUGGAAACCAAUGCGGGGCAACCCGGAUUCUGGUGAUUCAUAAUAACUUUCGGAUCGAUCCUCGGAUCGAUGCAUCAUUCAAGUUUCUGCCCUAUCAGCUUUGGAUGGUAGGGUAUUGGCCUACCAUGGCUUUAACGGGUAACGGAGAAUUAGGGUUCGAUUCCGGAGAGGGAGCCUGAGAAAUGGCUACCACAUCCAAGGAAGGCAGCAGG
rnacentral:rRNA from 1 species